GUUGGGGGUUGAAGCUGAUCACCUUGGGCAAACUAUGUCGCCUCUCUGUGCCUUAGUUGCAUCUUCUGUGACUGCCCCCGGGCCCCUCGUCACAGCUGAUUUCCUAGACUAGAUGUUGGGAGGGAGGCUGCUGAAGGGAGUAAGAAGUGGCAACUGCUAGGGACACUGAAGAGAGAGACAAAAGCAGAUUAAAGCUGAUAAACUGAGUGCAAAUACCCUCAAAAGAGAAAGAAUCCCGCAGUGUUUUGAACCACUUAGCGUAAGGAAAACAAAAGCACGUGGACCCAAUUCUCUUGAGAAUGUGAGUAUUGUGGGUAGGAGGGUGUCAUCAGAAAACAGUUGAGAAAAGGCCUUUUGGUUUCCCUUGAUGUUUCCAGUAAGGAUGGGGAGCAGAAGCUAAAACCCACCGCUUCACAGUGCAAGCUGCUGUUUUGUGCAUAACUGACCAAAGGUUGGAAACCAGUCAUCAGCGGUGCUGGCAAAUGAAGAGACUUCUGGAUUGGGUGGGGCACUUGCUGUGACUUCCAGAUCCCUCCCUUUUCUCUGCUCUUCCUGUCCAUCUGUCUCCCUCCACUUUUCCCCUCCUCCCCUCCCCCUCCUCUCCUCCCCCUCCCAUCUUCUCCCUCCCUCGCUGCCCCACCUUCCCUCACAGAACCCAGAGGAUCGCUGGCACUCCUGCGCAUGGGCAGUCAGUGCCAGCUGGACCCCGAGUUGGAAGCUCCAGCUCCGAGCCAGGAAUCGGCCCCAAAACCUUCUCAGCUCUGUCGCCCGGACCAGCUCAGUGGCGUGGGCACUGCUCCCCCGGCUGAGAGCCCCCGGCUGUAACGCCCAGCUUCUCCUAGUGGAGUCGGGAAAAGGGAUCCUCAGUGUUGAGCGAGCUUCAAUCUCCUCCCUCAGUGUUUCUGCCGCA